CCCUAUGGGGUGCACCAGGCUGAGGAUCCAUAAGCAACACCGGGAAGUGUGAUUGUUGUCUGUUCAGUAAAAGUAUUAUCUCCGUUGUUUUUAUAAAUCUGUGACAUAUUUGUUCCGCCAACCAUCUGUCCUGAAGACAGAAUAUCAAGAUAACCAUCAUUAUUAUAAUCUCCCCAGUUCACUGAGCCCGUAGUCAGCCCUGUCAUGGCGAUUCCUGAAAGGACCGUGAAAAUUCCUGAGCUGAAAACUCCUAUGUUAUCAUUAUCCGGAUUAGUCUCAGUAGCAUAGAUCU
rnacentral:rRNA from 1 species